GCUCGCUGAAUUAAUUCAUCUCUUCAUGGCCCAUUUGAAGCAUUCUUUUGUCCGCGAGUCACCACUUUCUCAAAGUCAGCUGCGCCAACACAAGCAACAUCUCCACGGACAGAAAACAAACAGCGAACAGUCAUGUCUUCCAGGCAUGCAUUUGACAAUGUUGGUGCUGUCCUGUGUGAACUGAUGUGAGCCAGUCAGAUCCAGACAACAAAUGCAGAUUUUGGAACUGUGACAUCCACUGAAGAGCUGGAGAGCAAGGCAAAUGUUAAUUUCACCUCCUGACAGGCUGUGCAAACAUGCAAUAACAAUGUGGAGUAGGCAAUUAUGAGAGGAACUCAUUCCAUAAAUAUCACUUUAGCCCCAUCUCAUUAACAGAAAAAUAAACCAAAAUAAUAAAUCAUUA